rnacentral:rRNA from 1 species
UACAGAGGUGGCAAGCGUUGUUCGGAAUUACUGGGCGUAAAGGGCGCGUAGGCGGUUCGUUAAGUCCUGUGUGAAAUCCCCCGGCUCAACUGGGGAACUGCACAGGAAACUAGCGGGCUUGAGUUCGGGAGAGGGAAGCGGAAUUCCGGGUGUAGCGGUGAAAUGCGUAGAUAUCCCCAAGAACACCAGUUGCGAAGGCGGCUGACUGGACACAUAUUGACGCUGAGGCUCGAAAGCAUGGGGAGCAAACAGG